UAACCUACCUAUAAGACUGGGAUAACUCCGGGAAACCGGGGCUAAUACCUGAUAAUAUUUUGAACCGCAUGGUUCGAUAGUGAAAGGCGGCUUCGGCUGUCACUUAUAGAUGGACCCGCGCCGUAUUAGCUAGUUGGUAAGGUAAUGGCUUACCAAGGCGACGAUACGUAGCCGACCUGAGAGGGUGAUCGGCCACACUGGAACUGAGACACGGUCCAGACUCCUACGGGAGGCAGCAGUAGGGAAUCUUCCGCAAUGGGCGAAAGCCUGACGGAGCAACGCCGCGUGAGUGAUGAAGGUUUUCGGAUCGUAAAACUCUGUUGUUAGGGAAGAACAAAUUUGUUAGUAACUGAACAAGUCUUGACGGUACCUAACCAGAAAGCCACGGCUAACUACGUGCCAGCAGCCGCGGUAAUACGUAGGUGGCAAGCGUUAUCCGGAAUUAUUGGGCGUAAAGCGCGCGUAGGCGGUUUCUUAAGUCUGAUGUGAAAGCCCACGGCUCAACCGUGGAGGGUCAUUGGAAACUGGG
rnacentral:rRNA from 1 species